GACGAACGCUGGCGGCGUGCUUAACACAUGCAAGUCGAACGGAAAGGCCCUGCUUUUGUGGGGUGCUCGAGUGGCGAACGGGUGAGUAACACGUGAGUAACCUGCCCUUGACUUUGGGAUAACUUCAGGAAACUGGGGCUAAUACCGGAUAGGAGCUCCUGCUGCAUGGUGGGGGUUGGAAAGUUUCGGCGGUUGGGGAUGGACUCGCGGCUUAUCAGCUUGUUGGUGGGGUAGUGGCUUACCAAGGCUUUGACGGGUAGCCGGCCUGAGAGGGUGAGCGGACACAUUGGGACUGAGAUAAGGCCCAGACUCCUACGGGAGGCAGCAGUGGGGAAUAUUGCACAAUGGGCGGAAGCCUGAUGCAGCAACGCCGCGUGCGGGAUGACGGCCUUCGGGUUGUAAACCGCUUUCGCCUGUGACGAAGCGUGAGUGACGGUAAUGGGUAAAGAAGCACCGGCUAACUACGUG
rnacentral:rRNA from 1 species